CUGGUGUUCCGCAGGGCUCGGUACUGGGUCCUCUUCUCUUCUCGAUCUACACCUCCUCUCUCGGCCCGGUCAUAGUCUCCCAUGGAUUCAAAUACCACUGCUGUGCUGAUGAUACCCAGCUCUUCCUCUCCUUUCCACCUGGAGCAUCAGACAUUUCUACUUGGAUGUCUGAUCACCACCUCCGACUCAACCUCUGCAAAACAGAAAUUCUUCACCUCCCAGAUGGCCUGUCCUCCUGUCACGAUCUAUCGAUCAAACUGGACAACUCACUCAUUUUGCCUACCUCCUCGGCUAAGAGUCUGGGAGUGAUGAUUGAUUCAAGUCUAUCUUUCUCUCACCACACUGAAGCUACAACCUGGACCUGCAGAUACAUCCUGCAUAAUAUUCGCAGGAUCUGUCCCUACCUCAAAACUGAAUCUGCCCAACUGCUUGUCCAGGCCAUAGUGACAUCCUGUCUGGACUACUGCAACUCUCUCCUGUGUGUUCUUCCCACUUCUGCCAUCAAACCUCUGCAGCUGAUACAGAAUGCUGCUGCACGAGUUGUGUUUGAUUUCCCAAAGUGUUCCCAUGUAUUCCCUCUACUCAUUUCUCUGCACUGGCUUCCUAUAGCUGCCUGGAUCAAAUUAAAGACCCUGGUAAUUGUUUACAAAUGCAUCAAUAGAACUGCUCCUAGCUAUUUACAAGACUUGAUCGACCACUACACCCCAACCAGACUGCUUCACUCGUCUACUUCUGCUCGCUUGGUGGUUUCAUGCAUGAAAGGUAAAGUGCGGAGGUUCUCACUUCUGUCUUCGUUGUGGUGGAAUGACCUCCCUCUCUCACUCGGAACUGCUGAAACUCUGUCUACAUUCAGGAAGGGUCUGAAAACUCACCUUUUCCAGACUCACUUGGCCCAUGAUCUCUUAAGCUGAUGUAUGGUGUAAAUAUUCCUGCACCUUGGCUUUAAGAUCAUCCCCAGAUAAGCCUUUACACAGCCACUACUCCAGCAUUGUAUGUAAAUGUUUG
rnacentral:lncRNA from 1 species